rnacentral:lncRNA from 1 species
CUCGGUCGAGUGCGGCGCCGCCUCCGGCGCGCCGCCUCGCCGAGCACCUCCCUUCCCCCUCUCAUCUCUCUGACCUCCUCCGUCCGCCUCCCUCUCUCUCAGUUCUUUCUCCCUCGCCGGAAUCGAUGCACGCGUCGCCUCGAUGUCCGCAGCCGCCGCCUCGAUGUCCGCAGCCGCCGCCUCGCCGUGAAGGAGCUCGGCCGCCGUCCAUCUGGUCUUCCGCCUUCGGCCUCCGCUCGAAAAAGGGCGUGGGGUAGCCUCCUCUCCAUCCCCUCGUCUGGAACAGGGCGUCUGCCCUCUCCGCCAUAGGGUGCGCACGGCCGCCGCCUGGCCGCCCCCUCCGUCGUCCGUCUGGCUGGAAUCGCAGUGGAGGCCGAGCCUUGCCUCGCCGGAAAGGUAGGCUCCAAUUCUUCCCCCUUUUCUUCUCUUUUUUUUUUAUUUCCAGAUCUGAAAUUUUCCCCCUCUUUUCCUCUUUUCCGGCCGAUCAGGAACAGCCCAGUGCUCCCGCCACCGUGUCUCCGCUGUCGAUGCCGCCGCGUCGUCGUCACCGGAGAGGAUGAGUCCUCCCUCCUCUCUCUCUCUCUCUUCCCCUUUUUUUUUUUUAAACCUUAUCUCUCUCUCUCGGUCGUUUCAGACAAGAAAAAAAAAGGAAAAAGGCGGUGGCUUGCCGCCGCGCCGUCACCGGCCGUGAGCAGCCGCCGGCUGCUCUCACUCCUCCCUCUGUCCACGGUCACACACACACAGAAACACAAAAAGCCCAAAUUCAGUCCAGAAUUCACAGUAGCAAAGUUAGGGUUCUGCAAAAUUGUUCUUUCUCAUUUCUCUAUUUAUCGAUGUACUUUCCAGAUCUGUAAUGAGCAACUAUUGAAACACAUAGUGGAAAAAUACCAACUGUGCGUGUGUGUGUAUAUAUCUGUUGGUGGUCCUCUGAUGGUGAUAAGAUGAUGUAAUUGAAGCAUUAAUAGUCUAAAAGAAGUAGGUUGGGAAUACCCUUGAAGAGGCAGAUGAGGAUUUGUGGCUUCUGCAUAAUGAUGCUAGGUGUUAGAAUGUAAUCCUCUAAAAUUUAAUGGAAGAAUAAACAAAAUUAAUUACCUCCUUGAUUUGGAUACUUGAAACAACUUGAAUUAUUUUGAAGGAACCGUGGGAGUAGGAGGUAAGAAGGUGGUAUUUAGGAGAUUAUAGAGAGAGAAUGUCUUGAUGAGGAAGUUAAAAUGGAUGAGAGAGAAUGUCUUAAUAAUGAGAAAAUAACUUAAUGAGGAAGCUAAGUUAAAGAUGAG